rnacentral:rRNA from 1 species
CGUCUUGGUUAUUGAUGUUGGAUGCUUGCAUUUAACUGAUUUAACAUUGAGACGAGUGGCGAACUGGUGAGUAACACGUGGGUAACCUGCCCUUGAAGUAGGGGAUAACACUUGGAAACAGGUGCUAAUACCGUAUAACAACCAAAACCACCUGGUUUUGGUUUAAAAGAUGGCUUCGGCUAUCACUUUAGGAUGGACCCGCGGCGUAUUAGCUUGUUGGUAAGGUAACGGCCUACCAAGGCAAUGAUACGUAGCCGACCUGAGAGGGUAAUCGGCCACAUUGGGACUGAGACACGGCCCAAACUCCUACGGGAGGCAGCAGUAGGGAAUCUUCCACAAUGGACGAAAGUCUGAUGGAGCAACGCCGCGUGAGUGAUGAAGGGUUUCGGCUCGUAAAACUCUGUUGUUGGAGAAGAACAGGUGUGAGAGUAACUGUUCACAUCUUGACGGUAUCCAACCAGAAAGCCACGGCUAACUACGUGCCAGCAGCCGCGGUAAUACGUAGGUGGCAAGCGUUGUCCGGAUUUAUUGGGCGUAAAGCGAGCGCAGGCGGUUUCUUAGGUCUGAUGUGAAAGCCUUCGGCUUAACCGGAGAAGUGCAUCGGAAACCAGGAGACUUGAGUGCAGAAGAGGACAGUGGAACUCCAUGUGUAGCGGUGAAAUGCGUAGAUAUAUGGAAGAACACCAGUGGCGAAGGCGGCUGUCUGGUCUGUAACUGGCGCUGAGGCUCGAAAGCAUGGGUAGCGAACAGGAUUAGAUACCCUGGUAGUCCAUGCCGUAAACGAUGAGUGCUAAGUGUUGGAGGGUUUCCGCCCUUCAGUGCUGCAGCUAACGCAUUAAGCACUCCGCCUGGGGAGUACGACCGCAAGGUUGAAACUCAAAGGAAUUGACGGGGG